CUUGCGGUUUAAUUGGAUUCAACGCCGGAAAUCUUACCGGACCGACAGCAAUAUGAAGGCCAGGCUGAAGACUUUGCCGGAUUAGCUGAGAGGUGGUGCAUGGCCGUCGUCAGUUCGUACUGUGAAGCAUCCUGUUAAGUCAGGCAACGAGCGAGACCCACGCCCACAGUUGCCAGCGUACUCUCUGGAGUGACGGGUACACUGUGGGGACCGCCGCUGCUAAAGCGGAGGAAGGAAUGGGCAACGGUAGGUCAGUAUGCCCCGAAUAUCCCGGGCUACACGCGAGCUACAAUGGUUGGUACAAUGGGUAUCUACCCCGAAAGGGGACGGGAAUCUCCUAAAACCAAUCUUAGUUCGGAUUGAGGGCUGCAACUCGCCCUCAUGAAGCUGGAAUCCGUAGUAAUCGCGUUUCAACAGAACGCGGUGAAUACGUCCCUGCUCCUU
rnacentral:rRNA from 1 species